GACGAACGCUGGCGGCGUGCUUAACACAUGCAAGUCGAACGGAAAGGCCCUGCUUUUGUGGGGUGCUCGAGUGGCGAACGGGUGAGUAACACGUGAGUAACCUGCCCUUGACUUUGGGAUAACUUCAGGAAACUGGGGCUAAUACCGGAUAGGAGCUCCUGCUGCAUGGCGGGGGUUGGAAAGUUUCGGCGGUUGGGGAUGGACUCGCGGCUUAUCAGCUUGUUGGUGGGGUAGUGGCUUACCAAGGCUUUGACGGGUAGCCGGCCUGAGAGGGUGACCGGCCACAUUGGGACUGAGAUACGGCCCAGACUCCUACGGGAGGCAGCAGUGGGGAAUAUUGCACAAUGGGCGGAAGCCUGAUGCAGCAACGCCGCGUGCGGGAUGACGGCCCUCGGGUUGUAAACCGCUUUCGCCUGUGACGAAGCGUGAGUGACGGUAAUGGGUAAAGAAGCACCGGCUAACUACGUG
rnacentral:rRNA from 1 species